rnacentral:ribozyme from 13 species
UAUAUAUUUAUGAAUUUUUAAUUCUUUUUUUUUUUUUUUUUUUUUUUUUUUUUGUUUGAAUAACCUAAAUCCUAUGUUUAAAAAAUAACUAUAUGUGUGCCAAACAAAUAAAAAUAAAACUGCCCAUGACCCCUCAAAAUUCUGUGUGGCACUUUGUCUAAAUAAU